UACGAACCGUACAAACGUUAUUCGGAAUCACUGGGCUUAAAGGGUGCGUAGGCGGCCACGUAAGUGAGAUGUGAAAUCCCUCGGCUCAACCGAGGAAGUGCAUUUCAUACUGCAUGGCUUGAGGGAGACAGGGGUCAGCGGAACUGAUGGUGGAGCGGUGAAAUGCGUUGAUAUCAUCAGGAACACCGGUGGCGAAAGCGGCUGACUGGGUCUCUUCUGACGCUGAGGUACGAAAGCUAGGGUAGCGAACGGG
rnacentral:rRNA from 1 species